GUAUUUAAAUGCGUUAGACGCAAUAGUACAUUCUGAGACUAACAGUUUGUAAUAAAAUACAUAGAGAGACUCGGAGCUGCAAAAGCAGCGUCCUUAUGAGCCAACCUAUGAAUGGUGCACAGAGGUAUAUGGAUGAAUUGACAAGGCGUGCACAUACCCCAAGGGGCCAGCGACAACCUCAUCGUGUAAUUCAUUAAUGAUCCUUCCGCAGGUUCACCUACGGAAA
rnacentral:misc_RNA from 1 species